rnacentral:rRNA from 1 species
GAUGAACGCUGGCGGCGUGCCUAAUACAUGCAAGUCGAGCGAACAGACGAGGAGCUUGCUCCUCUGACGUUAGCGGCAGACGGGUGAGUAACACGUGGAUAACCUACCUAUAAGACUGGGAUAACUUCGGGAAACCGGAGCUAAUACAGGAUAAUAUAUUGAACCGCAUGGUUCAAUAGUUCAAUACGGUGUUGCUGUCACUUAUAGCUGGAUCCGCGCCGCAUUAGCUAGUUGGUAAGGUAACGGCUUACCAAGGCAACGAUGCGUAGCCGACCUGAGAGGGUGAUCGGCCACACUGGAACUGAGACACGGUCCAGACUCCUACGGGAGGCAGCAGUAGGGAAUCUUCCGCAAAGGGCGAAAGCCUGACGGAGCAACGCCGCGUGAGUGAUGAAGGUCUUCGGAUCGUAAAACUCUGUUAUUAGGGAAGAACAAAUGUGUAAGUAACUAUGCACGUCUUGACGGUACCUAAUCAGAAAGCCACGGCUAACUACGUG